UCACCAGUGGGCCGGGGUGGUGGUGGUUCGGUCUGGGAGGUGGCUGCCCUGGGAGCUUUGAUAACCAAGUGAACAGUCAAUCCAUCCUUGACGUUGUGUGUUGCAAGUGUCUCGUGGUCCUUCAUAAUUUUACCAGCAAAUAUGAGGCAGAUCUGAUCAGAUUGGGCAUUGAAUUUCUUCGAGACAGCAUCUUUGAACUGCGUAUAAAAUCUCUCGUCUACGCUUGUAUAAACGAAUUAACGAAAACAGUCAUCUACAAGACAAUAAGAUUCCUUGAAAACUACAGUCACAACCGCCACAAUGAACGAGAUUACAAAUCUGUCUGCUGUCAGAGCAGGGAAACUUCGUCACGGGGGUUCAAAAAGGGUUGCUUGAAGUAUAGGGAGGAAUAAAAUGGCGGAAUCUAAAAGUACUCUCGUUAAAAAUCAUUUUGAAAAUUCGAAAUCUAUGAACACACGGAGAAAAAAUUCUAGUCGCAAAUUCCCGCAUCAUCCUACCGGGGUUCGCAUUCACGAAUAGCGUGACGCAGUCGCAGAAAGAUAUCAUGCAUUAGUACAGACACUGAUCUUAUAUAAAGAGUCAAAUCCAGUGUCUGUCAUGUAGUCGAGUACCGACAAGUGUUCACGCUAAGGUUCACGGAUUAACGAGGCUUGGUGAUAACAUUGAG
rnacentral:misc_RNA from 1 species